UUUUUAAUUUAUUUGGCAGGCACGUUCGUUCAAAUCUAUUGGAAUUUUUUUUUUACAGAUCUAAAGUAGUUCUAUAUAUAAUUUAAUCGGUUCAAGAUGAAGGAUUCAAAAUCAAUUAAUAUCUGAAUAGUAAUAGUCAAGUAAAAAUAAGGAUCGUAUAAUUUAUAAAGAAUUAUUUAUUUGAAGUAAAUAGUACAAGUUACAAAUUCUCAGAAUUCAUAUUUGAAGCGUAAUUUAAUUUUCCUUUGAACGAAUAUCGUAAAUUCACGGCAUUAUUAUUAUUUUUUGUAUAUACUAUUUGUUACAACCAUUGUGAAGUGUGAAAUAGUUUAAUAUCAAGAAGAAAACAUAAACAUUAUUACUAAGUGGGGAGGAUUAAAUCAAAGACGUUCCUCAUAAAUAUAAAUGAAACAUUCUUAUAUUCGCAGUCGAAGAAGCUAGUUCAAACUGUGAAAUAUGAAAAUGAAUAUUUGAUAGAGUGGUAUUUCUCAAGGAGGUUCGACGUUUGAACGUAAUAUUCAACAAUUCAAAGAAAUAAUAUGGAUAACAUAAUAAUUUAAUAACAUAAUCGGAUAUGGAAAAUUAUUUAAGCAAAGUUACAGCAAAAGUAAAAUUCAAACAUCAUUCUGAUAAAAUAUUUAAGAAAUUAACUCUUUAAGAGUUUUGGUUUGAAAAAAAUAAAUAUUUUUGAAUUAAAAAUCUUAACGAUAUUCACCAUAAAAAACGAAUUUUCUAAAAAAUUUUUAUUCACAUAUUAUGUGUACAUCAAAUGUAAAAAAUUUUAUAAGAUAAAUUUUACAUCAUAUAUGAAAAAUGAAACCGAGAACAGAAAAGAAAAAAAUAUUUGACAUAAUAGAAACAAUAUCUACUUCAUUUGAAUUGAGUUUAAAUAGGAAUUAUUUUGAAAAAUGUUUAUAAAUCAAACUGAUUAUAUAAUUAAUAAUUAUAUAAUUAAUAAUAUUAGUAACAUUUUUCUUUAAUAUAAAAAAAUUGAUAAUACAUGCUUUUAGAUAUUAAUUGAUAUCAUUAGAAAUUUAAAAUAUCAUUUGUAUAUGAAUGAAAAAUUUACUAUUUAUCAUUAUCAUUUAAUAUAAAUGAUAUUUAUAUAUUUCAAUGAUUUCAUAUUAAUUCAAUCACUAAGCAUAUAUUCAUAUUUUUAUAUUUUAAAAGAAAAAUGAUCUUAUGCUCAACACAUUUCUCAAAAUAAUAAAAAAUUAUUUAUCAACUACUAAACAGUAAAGUGAUAUCAAUAAAUUAUUAUAUUGAUAUUGAUUUUACAAUAUUACAAUAUUAUCAUUAAAUAUAUAAAAUCGAUCAACUCAUGUUACUAAUAAUUCUACAUUUUUCGAUGAUGUGUAUAUUAAAGAGAAUUAUUUCUAUCUAACAAGUGCUUUUCGAGAAUUUAUUAAAUUUAUAAUGAGAUUUAUAAAAUAAAAUUUGACUGCUUCGGAUAGUAUUAAUCUGUAGCUAAUCUCUAAUUUUUUGAAAAUUUUAUUAUUAAUGAUAAAUGUGCGAUGAUUUAAUGAACAUAUACUUGGCAAUAAUUAAAUUUUGUAUUUUGCCAAAUUGAAAUUAUUAAAAUAUAUAUGUACAAUCUUAUAAGAAUAAGAAUUUAUUAAUGAUUACAUCAUAGAAUAUAAGUCAUUAAAUUCAGAGAUCCUUAUCAUCGUUCUUGUAAUGAUGAAUGCUUUAUUAAGGAUUUUUUGAUAAAAAAAAUGACAUUAUAAUCACUAUAAAUUAUUUGUUUAUAUCUUUGUCAAUAUAUUUUUUUGAUUUAAUUGUAUUCUUAAUAUAUAAUAUUUUAUUCAAUUUUUAAUUUAUUACUUCAGAUUAUUUCGUUCAUUUAAUAAUUAUCAAAAAAUAUAACAUUUAUUUAAAAAAUAAAUUAAAGAUAAUAAAAUUUCACUUAGAAAAAAUUAGAUAUUAAAAAAUAGUUUAUAUAAUAUUCAUAAAAAAAAUAUGGUUUUAGAAAUUAUUUUUCUCUUAAUAUAUUCUAAAAGAAUUUUCAAAUAUUUGAGCUAGAUCCUCUCUUGAAUGUUCUCGUGGUGCUAAUUUCGUAAGACGUUGCUGUAAAUAAUAUAAAAUUAAUUUAUAAUAUUAAUGAAGAAAAAUACAAAAAUUAUAUAUGUAACCAUAAUGUAUGUAAAAUAAAAAAAUAUUGUAUGAUCAUACCAAAAAAUUUAAAAUGUAAAAAUAUAUAUAUAUACAUAUAUAUAUAUAUAUAUAUAUAUGUAUGUAUAUAUAUAUAUAUAUGUAUAUAUAUAUAUAUAUAUAUAUGUAUGUAUAUAUAUAUAUUAUAUUACAUGACAAUUAUUAAUUCGUCAUAUGCUAGCAUAUGAAAUUAAAAAUAUAUGACAAAUUUACUUAAUUGUCAUUCAUUCAUGUAUGGUGACCAAUAAAUCACUAUUUAAAAUUGA